ACCAGUGUGGCAUAGUGGUUUGAGUGUUAGACUAUGACUCUGAAACCUGGGUUCAAUUCCUGGUCAGCCAUGAAA